rnacentral:rRNA from 1 species
GCAAGUCGAACGGUGAAGCCCAGCUUGCUGGGUGGAUCAGUGGCGAACGGGUGAGUAACACGUGAGCAACCUGCCCCUGACUCUGGGAUAAGCGCUGGAAACGGCGUCUAAUACUGGAUAUGUACCACGAUCGCAUGGUCUGUGGUUGGAAAGAUUUUUCGGUUGGGGAUGGGCUCGCGGCCUAUCAGCUUGUUGGUGAGGUAAUGGCUCACCAAGGCGUCGACGGGUAGCCGGCCUGAGAGGGUGACCGGCCACACUGGGACUGAGACACGGCCCAGACUCCUACGGGAGGCAGCAGUGGGGAAUAUUGCACAAUGGGCGCAAGCCUGAUGCAGCAACGCCGCGUGAGGGAUGACGGCCUUCGGGUUGUAAACCUCUUUUAGCAGGGAAGAAGCGAAAGUGACGGUACCUGCAGAAAAAGCGCCGGCUAACUACGUGCCAGCAGCCGCGGUAAUACGUAGGGCGCAAGCGUUAUCCGGAAUUAUUGGGCGUAAAGAGCUCGUAGGCGGUUUGUCGCGUCUGCUGUGAAAUCCGGAGGCUCAACCUCCGGCCUGCAGUGGGUACGGGCAGACUAGAGUGCGGUAGGGGAGAUUGGAAUUCCUGGUGUAGCGGUGGAAUGCGCAGAUAUCAGGAGGAACACCGAUGGCGAAGGCAGAUCUCUGGGCCGUAACUGACGCUGAGGAGCGAAAGGGUGGGGAGCAAACAGGCUUAGAUACCCUGGUAGUCCACCCCGUAAACGUUGGGAACUAGUUGUGGGGUCCAUUCCACGGAUUCCGUGACGCAGCUAACGCAUUAAGUUCCCCGCCUGGGGAGUACGGCCGCAAGGCUAAAACUCAAAGGAAUUGACGGGGACCCGCACAAGCGGCGGAGCAUGCGGAUUAAUUCGAUGCAACGCGAAGAACCUUACCAAGGCUUGACAUAUACGAGAACGGGCCAGAAAUGGUCAACUCUUUGGACACUCGUAAACAG